rnacentral:rRNA from 1 species
GACGAACGCUGGCGGCGUGCUUAACACAUGCAAGUCGAACGAUGAACCCGGAGCUUGCUCCGGUGGAUUAGUGGCGAACGGGUGAGUAACACGUGAGUAACCCGCCCUUGACUCUGGGAUAACUGCGGGAAACUGUAGCUAACACCGGAUACGACCCUCGGCGGCAUCGCCAGGGGGUGGAAAGAAUUUCGGUCAAGGAUGGACUCGCGGCCUAUCAGCUAGUUGGUGAGGUAACGGCUCACCAAGGCAACGACGGGUAGCCGGCCUGAGAGGGUGACCGGCCACACUGGGACUGAGACACGGCCCAGACUCCUACGGGAGGCAGCAGUGGGGAAUAUUGCACAAUGGGCGCAAGCCUGAUGCAGCAACGCCGCGUGAGGGAUGACGGCCUUCGGGUUGUAAACCUCUUUUAGUAGGGAAGAAGCGAAAGUGACGGUACCUGCAGAAAAAGCACCGGCUAACUACGUGCCAGCAGCCGCAGUAA